CACGCGCUAUGUUCGAGGGCAGAGAUGUGCAUCCUUCUGUUGAAUUACCUUGGACAGAGGAAGGCAUGGUUAACAGCUACGUACGGGGAGGCAAAGAGGCGGAUGUACUGGUACAGCGCACAAGCACUGAAUGAAGGACAAAGAAGGAUACAGACACGGUCGUCGAUGUUCAGCUGCUGAAUAGGACACCUAAAUGUAAAAACUAUCUACGUGGUGUACCACAAGCAUAUAAACAGUUAUUCCUUACUUAAAUUAGUAUAUGAUACUGAAGCACACACACACUUACACAACUAGGCUUCCCGAGAUCCAACUG